CCACCACCGCUGGGCACAACUCUAGUGGACCUGUCGAAGAGUGACCGGACCGAGAAAUGUCAUGACGCGAUUGACACUGCAGUUUGACAUUUUGGUAAUCCAGAAGAGAAAAAACAACAAAGAAGAUAAGUCGAGAAUUACUUGCUAAAAUUUGCUGGUAAAUGAAAAGUAUUUGCUAUUGUUAAAUAAUUAAAUUGAGUGAAUUUGAACUAAAAGUAAACAAAAAGAAUUCGGAUUUGUAAGUUAAAAUAGACUAAAAUAAAAUACCUGUGAAUUAUAUACAUUUAUUGAUAUUUAGGCUCAACUAUACAAAGCUUCGGGAAUAUUUGUCAGGUCAUUGAAACCGCGUGAAGAACAUCAAUGAUGUAAGUGUUUUUUUCCGCAAUUCUACAUGAAAUUAUAUUACUAUAAAUAAAUUAUUUACAGUUUUGAGCUGUACGCUACACUACUGCUGCAAAAAGGUGUAUUUCUUCUACGUGUCCUGAACAAAUUUCUCAAAAAUCAUUGAGAUGAAGCCCGGAGAGGAGGAACAUAACCCCGAAAAGACCGGCUAUGAUUGUGCGCACUGUGAACAACCGAACCAUGCAGAUGAUAACAUGGUGCUCUGCGAAAAAUGCCAAAAAUGGUUUCAUUUCAUGUGCGCCGGCGUGACGUCCGACAUUAAGAAGGUUCCUUGGUCGUGCGUUAGUUGCAAAAAAGCUGCCACAACAACAAACAACACUCGCAGUCAAGCCGAAGGUGGCACAGUUCUGGAAGUCUCCGAUUCGAUGGAAAAGGACGAACAGGAGAAGAGUGACCCAAGGACGUCGGCGGACGAGGACGAUGAAGAAGAACGGCAACACCAGAAGGAACUGAGAAUGAUGAAAGAUCGUUUCGAGCGUCAAUUCCAAAGGGAAAAGGAGAAGAUGAUGAUGCAGAUUCGUUUGGAACGAGAAAUGCUGGAGAGAAAGAAAGCGGUAGAAGCGGAACUAAACAAGAUGCGGAGCGAGCUGUAUGAAGAGUUCGAGUACAGCCCCGAUACCCUGGAUCAGGAAAACGGCGCCGUAGGUGGUAAACCCGUACCGAAUGAGGAGCAAUCAGAUGCGGACUUGGAGAAGAUGUGGAGGGACAAGCUAAAAUUCCCGUACGAGCAACGCAAACCCAUUGCUGACCCCCGGGGGGCUUUUCCCAAAUGUUCUACGCCCAAAGAAGUGUCAUUGCAACUGGGUACCAUCAACGACCAUCAGGGGCCACCGGAAAACGAUUCGAAGGAAAACACACCGCUGAGGAACCCGCAAAUACCAACAACGAAGGUAAACAAACCAGGUUUGCCAUCUCUACCAGUGCCUUCUUUCUGUCCACCGGCGGCUGUUCAGCCACACGCUCCAAUCCUGCGUCAAGGACUCCAACCCGUCGCAAAUACGAACUUCUCUGUAUCAGACGCGUUGCAUGACAGUCGUGGCCAGGCUCCAAUCCUUCCAGAGCAGGAGUUGACAAGAGCGCAGCUUGCAGCCCGAAAAGGUCCCUUCGCUAAGCUGCCAGUGUUCACGGGACGGCCAGAGGAAUGGCCACUGUUUAUAAGCAGUUUCAACAACGGGAAUGCAGCAUGCCACUGGACCGACCUAGAGAAUCUUGGCAGGCUUCAAGAAAGCAUCAGAGGGCCAGCACUGGAAGCCGUGAGGAGCAGACUGUUGCUGCCAGAAUCGGUCCCAAGAGUGAUCGAAACGCUUCGCCACCUGUAUGGCAGACCGGAACAACUUCUUCAUUCUUUGCUGCAGAAGGCAAGGAAAGCAGACCCUCCGCGUGCCGACCGCCUUGGCACAUUUAUCAGCUUUGGCAUGAUCGUCCAACAAUUGUGCGACCACCUGGUGGCCUCAGGAAUGGUUGAACAUCUCGUGAAUCCCAUGCUCAUUACAGAGCUUGUUGAGAAGUUGCCUCCCACCACGAAAAUGGAGUGGGUUCGGCACAAGCGUCAGCAGGCAGCAGUCGAUCUCAGCACCUUUUCGGAUUUCCUUUCCGAAAUCGUUUCGGAAGCAACGGAGGCCACACUCUAUGCAGAGCCUCGAAUCGAUAGUCGUCCAAAUCGAGACUGGAAGGAAAAAAGACCGAAGGGCAAAGAGCAUCAGGGGUUUCUGAACGCACACGUCGGCGUGGAGCAUUCGUCGCAUCAGUUGAGCGACCAGCGCAAAGGAGGAGACCAGAACGUCAAUCGUACGCCAUGCCGCGGUUGCAACAGUCUGGAGCAUCGGACCCGUGGCUGUGAGGACUUUCGUAGACUGGUCUGGAGCGACAAGGUGAAAAUAGCAGAGAAGUGGAAAAUGUGCAAAAUGUGUUUGAACGAGCACGGUGAGGCACGCUGUCGGUUUAAAGGGCACUGCAACGUCGGAGACUGCAAGGAAAGGCACCAUUCCCUUCUUCAUCCACCGAGCUCUAACACACCUCUGUCUACGAACUGCCAUGUGCACGACUCGGAGCAGCAUCCCGUCAUUUUUAGGAUGGUUCCGAUCAAACUGCACCAUGAAGGACGCACCUGCAAUGUCAUUGCCUUCUUGGACGAAGGGUCCUCGUAUUCCCUGAUGGAGAGCAACGUGGCCGAACAACUCAAGCUAAAAGGAGCUUGGGAACCGAUACUCGUGAAGUGGACAGCUGGUAUGAGUCGGCUCGAACGAAAUUCUCGCCGUGUUGACGUGUCAAUCUCGCCGAGCGGAUCCAACGAGAAACUUCUCCUACGAAAUGUCCACACCGUCCAAGAGCUCCAACUGCCGGAGCAGAAGAUUCGUUUUGCUGAGGUUGCCGCCCGUUUCAAGCACCUUAGUGGGUUACCUGUGGCUGACUGCUUGGGUGGCUCUCCAAAAAUUCUUAUUGGACUGAAACACCUACACGUGUACGCACCAUUAGAGUCACGAGUCGGCAACGCUGGAGAGCCAAUAGCGGUUCGCACGCGGCUUGGUUGGACAAUAUACGGCCCUCAAGGGAAUAACGCCACCGGAACCGGGUUUUCUGGGCAUCACACAGCUGUCGAACUAGCGGAUUUGGACCUCCAAGAACUUCUUCGAAAACAUUUCACGCUAGAGGAGUCGGGCUUACUAGUCAAGGUACUCCCAGAAUCUAAUGAAGAUCGUCGAGCGAGAAUAAUGUUGGAGCAAACAACCCAGCGCAUCGGAGACCACUUCGAGACCGGCCUUUUGUGGAAAAACGACGACCCUCAAUUGCCGGACAACUACCAAAUGGCGGUAAAGCGACUGAAGAGCCUGGAACGAAAGUUAGGAAAAAAUCCAGAACUGGCGCUGAACGUGGAGAAGCAGAUCGACGAUUAUCAGCGGAAGGGAUACGCCCACAUCGCUACUAGCAAAGAGUUGAAGGAAGCUGAACCGGGUAAGAUCUGGUACCUUCCCUUAAACGUCGUGCUCAACCCCAAAAAGCCGGGAAAAGUCCGGUUGGUCUGGGACGCUGCUGCGGCCGUGCAGGGGAGGUCGCUCAACACCGAAUUGUUAAAGGGUCCCGAUCUUCUGUCAAGCCUUCCAUCCGUCAUGUGUCCCUUCCGAGAGCGGCCUGUCGCCUUUGGCGGCGAUAUUGCUGAAAUGUACCACCAGAUACAUAUACGGGCAAGUGACAAGUCGGCACAGAGGUUUUUGUAUCGGACAAAUGUUUCUGGACCUCCAACGAUUUUUGUAAUGGAUGUUGCCACCUUCGGCUCAACCAGCUCACCGUGUUCUGCGCAGUAUAUCAAAAAUCGAAACGCUCAGGAGUACUGCGAAGAAUAUCCAGACGCAGUUGAAGCUAUUGUCGGCAAACACUAUGUCGACGACUAUUUCGACUCCACGUUCACGGUACGCGAAGCAGUCGAACGAGCAAAACAGGUCGUUUUCAUCCAUUCAAAAGCUGGAUUCCAUAUGCGAAACUGGGUGUCGAACAGCGCAGAAUUUCUCCGGCAUUUCAACGGGCAGCCGGAUAACCGCAUAAUACACUUCAACUGCGACAAGUCCAACUACACGGAGAGAGUCUUGGGUAUGUCAUGGAACACCCAGGCAGAUGUUUUCGUGUUCGCAGUUGUUAUGCAUGACGACCUGAAACCUUACCUCAUGGAAGAGAAGCUGCCAACGAAACGAAUACUACUGAGAAUCGUAAUGAGCUGCUUCGAUCCCCUCGGUCUGUGGACGUUGUUCACCGUUUUUGGGAAAAUGAUCAUCCAAGAUCUCUGGAGAAACGGGUGCUCGUGGGAUGAUGUUGUCGACGACAAUUCGGCGAAAAAAUGGUUCAAAUGGAUUGAGCUGCUGCCACGUGUUCAGGAAAUGAGGAUUCCGCGCUGCUAUUUUCUAGAUGCGAAGCCGUUCAACUAUCAGGAUUUGGAGCUUCACGUGUUUGCAGACGCGAGUGAGGAGGCCUAUGGUUGCGUUGCCUAUUUCCGUGUCCUAGUGAACGGACAACCAAGAGUAGCACUAGUAUCUGCAAAGUCGAAGGUGGCUCCACUACAGUACAUGUCCAUCCCCAGAAUGGAGCUUCUUGCCGCUGUACUUGGUGCUAGAUUAGCUGCUGCAGUCAAAGCUAACCAUUCUGUAGAAGUAAAGACUGUUAGGUUCCAUAUUGACUCCGCAACCGUACUUUCGUGGAUCCAAUCCGACCAUAGGAAGUACAAACAGUUUGUGGCGUACCGUAUAGGGGACAUUUUGAGCCUCACUAGCCCACACGAAUGGAACUGGGUCCCAACGAAAUACAACAUUGCCGAUGUGAUAACGAAGUGGGGUAAGCAUGGUCCACCGAUAGAAUCCGAUGGUGAGUGGGUACGCGGUCCUGAAAUACUACGCAGACCAAAAGAAGAGUGGAUUCAGCGUCCCCUACCAGCUCCAGGCGUUAAGGAAGAGUUGCGAGCUUAUCACUUGUUCCACGAAAUUUCGUUUUCCAAUAACUUGGUCGACACUACUCGAUUUUCGCGCCAUACUAUCCUGGUUCGAAGUACCGCUUGCGUAUUUCGAUUCAUUUCGAAUUGUCGCAAAAGGGUUAAAGGACAGCUGAUCGAAACUCUUCAAGCUACGCCAAAAUUGGAAAGGUCGAUCAAAAGGGUGUUUCUUUCGAAAAAGACUCCGCUUAAACGUGAUGAAUAUCGACUGGCUGAGAAUUAUCUGUGGCGAACGGCGCAGCAAGAAGGUUUUGCUGACGAGCGGAAGACAUUACUGAAGAAUAAGGAACUUCCUCAGGCAAAGUGGCAUUCCAUAGAACGAUCCAGUGUGCUCUACAAAUUGGCUCCUUUUCUGGAUGAAGAAGGCGUGAUUCGUAUGGAGGGCCGCUCGGCGCAUGCAGAAUUCAUCCCUUUCGAACAGCGGUUCCCAAUUGUGCUUCCAAAAGGCCACGACGUCACAUCGAAGCUCCUUUUACACUACCACGAAAAAUUUGGCCACGCAAACCGGGAGACCGUGGUGAAUGAACUACGCCAACGUUUCUACGUCCAACACGUUCGAGCAGCGGUUCUGCAGGUCAUGAAGGAUUGUGCGCGGUGUAAAAUCAUGAAAUGUCGCCCGGCAAUUCCUAGAAUGGCACCACUCCCAGUACAACGUCUGACUCCAAAGCUACGACCAUUCAGCUAUAUAGGGAUAGACUACUUUGGUCCAGUAGUUGUCACAGUUGGUCGCCGUGCAGAGAAAAGAUGGGUCUGCCUGUUUACGUGCCUCGUUACCAGAGCGAUCCACAUGGAAGUGGCUCAUAGCCUAAAUAGCCAAUCCUGCAUUAUGGCUAUUAGGAGAUUCAUCUGCAGAAGGGGUGCUCCACUUGAAAUAUUUUCAGACAAUGGCACCAACUUUUUGGCGGCAAGCAAGGAGUUAGUUCAGCAAGUUCGAAGUAUUGAACUGGAAUGUGCAGAUAUCUUCACCGAUGCGAGGACGCAAUGGAGUUUCAACCCGCCAGCAGCACCGCACAUGGGCGGGAUAUGGGAACGGUUGGUGAGAUCGGCAAAGGAGGCGUUGAAAUCUCUACAUGAAGGCGGAAGGUUAACUGACGAAAUCCUGCAUACCGUUUUGGCUGAAGCUGAGGAUAUGGUUAACUCCCGACCACUUACGUAUGUGCCUCAGGAAUCUGCAGAAUCCGAGGCGCUUACACCGAACCAUUUCCUCCGUGGGUUACCUGCAGGAGAGCGGGAGGAAGUUAGGGCGCCGACGAACUCAGCCGAAGCACUCAGAGAUAGCUACAAGCAGUCCCAGAAAUUGGCUGACGUCUUGUGGCAAAGGUGGUUGAAGGAAUAUGUGCCUACGAUCAAUCAUCGCACCAAAUGGCUGGAGGAGCAAGAUCCGGUGAAAGAAGGAGAACUGGUGUACAUAGUUGACGGAAGCAAUCGCAGAACAUGGAUAAGAGGCAUCGUGAUAAAGGUAAUACGAGGCAUUGACGGAAGAGUACGUCGGGCACUAGUGAAGACGUCGAAAGGAGUGUACCGUCGUGCAGUUGCUAAACUAGCGGUGAUGGAGCUCAGGAGUAAAUCUGAUCCUUCCUGCAAUUCCGGACCAGGUUUACGGGAGGGGGAAUUGUUACCACCACCGCUGGGCACAACUCUAGUGGACCUGUCGAAGAGUGACCGGACCGAGAAAUGUCAUGACGCGAUUGACACUGCAGUUUGACAUUUUGGUAAUCCAGAAGAGAAAAAACAACAAAGAAGAUAAGUCGAGAAUUACUUGCUAAAAUUUGCUGGUAAAUGAAAAGUAUUUGCUAUUGUUAAAUAAUUAAAUUGAGUGAAUUUGAACUAAAAGUAAACAAAAAGAAUUCGGAUUUGCUCAACUAUACAAAGCUUCGGGAAUAUUUGUCAGGUCAUUGAAACCGCGUGAAGAACAUCAAUGAUGUAAGUGUUUUUUUCCGCAAUUCUACAUGAAAUUAUAUUACUAUAAAUAAAUUAUUUACAGUUUUGAGCUGUACGCUACACUACUGCUGCAAAAAGGUGUAUUUCUUCUACGUGUCCUGA